AAUUCCAGCUGAUCCUGCUGGUGGAUACUGCUAUUGGAAUCUGACUAAGACAUGCAAGUCUUAAAGCCUCAGCUAUGAGAGGUUUUGGCGAACGGCUCAGUAACACGUGGUCAACCUACCCUUUUGAAGAGUUAAACUCGGGAAACUGAGUAUAAUGCUCUAUAAAAAAGUAAAUCUGGAAUGAUUACUAUUUUAAAGGUCAAAGAAUCAUGCUUCUUUGGCGCGAAAGGAUGGGACUGCGCCAGAUUAGGUUGUUGGUAGGGUAACUGCCUACCAAGCCGAAGAUCUGUACGGGCCUUGAGAGAGGUAGCCCGGAGAAGGGAACUGAGAUAAUGUCCCUAGCCCUACGGGGUGCAGCAGUUACGAAACUUUUACAAUGCGAGAAAUCGUGAUAAAGAGAUUCCAAGUGCUUACUAUGUAAGCUUUUAUAUAGUGUGAAUAACUAUGUGAAUAAGGGGAGGGCAAUAUGCGUGCCAGCCGCCGCGGUAAUACGUAAUCCCCAAGUGGUAUCCAGCAUUAUUUGGCUUAAAGCGUGUGUAGCUGGUUUGUUAAGUCUUUUGUGAAAGCAGCUAGCCUAACUAGUUGAAUUGCAAAAGAUACUGGCAUGACUAGGAACCGGAAGACGUUAAGGGUAUUUUUAGAGUAGGAGUAGAAUCUUAAGAUACUAAAAAGACCACCUGUGGCGAAGGCGCUUAACGAGUACGGAUUCGACAGUGAGAUACGAAAGCUGGGGGCGCAACCCGGAUUAGAUACCCGGUUAGUCCCAGCCGUAAACGAUGUGAAUUAGGUGUUGGGUUAACUACGAGUUAGCUCAGGGCCGAAGGGAAACCAUUAAAUUCACCGCCUGGGAAGUAUGGUCGCAAGACUGAAACUUAAUGGAAUUGGCGGGGGUGCACUACAAGGGGUGGAUGCUGCGGUUUAAUUGGAUGAAACGCCAGAUAUUUUACCAGGGCUGACAGCAAUAUGAUGGUCACUCUGAAGGGGUUACCUGAUGCGCUGAGAACUGCUGUAUGGCCAUCGUCAGCUCGUACUGUGAAGCUUCCUGUUAACUCAGGUAACGGGCGAGACCCAUGCUAUUAGUUGCUACUUUUUUUGCUUGCAAAAGAAGGCACUCUAAUAGGACUGCAUUGGUAACAAUGAGGAAGGAGUGGGCGAAGGUAGGUCUGUAUAGCGUGAAUGUUCUGGGCAACACGCGGCAUACAAUGGCUAAGACAAAGAGUAUCUAACCUGAAAAGGGGUGGCAAUCUCAAAAACUUAGUCUAAGUCCGGAUUGAGGGUUGCAACUCACCCUCAUGAAGCUGGAAUCCCCAGUAAUCGCGUGUCACUAUCACGCGGUGAAUAUGUCCCUGCGCCUUGCACACACCGCCCAUCAAGCCAACCGAGUGGAGUGUUGAUGAACUUUACUCUACUAAAGGAUAAAGUUAUUCUAUAUUUCGCGAGGUAGACUAAGUUGUAACAAGGUGUCCGUAGGGGAACCUGCGGACGGAUCACCUCCUA
rnacentral:rRNA from 1 species